UACGGGGGGAGCAAGCGUUGUUCGGAAUUACUGGGCGUAAAGCGCGCGUAGGCGGCUUUGUAAGUUAGAGGUGAAAGCCCGGAGCUCAACUCCGGAAUUGCCUUUAAGACUGCAUCGCUAGAAUCAUGGAGAGGUUAGUGGAAUUCCGAGUGUAGAGGUGAAAUUCGUAGAUAUUCGGAAGAACACCAGUGGCGAAGGCGACUAACUGGACAUGUAUUGACGCUGAGGUGCGAAAGCGUGGGGAGCAACAGGG
rnacentral:rRNA from 1 species